rnacentral:rRNA from 1 species
GUGCCAGCCGCCGCGGUAAUACAGAGGAGCCAAGCGUUGUCCGGAUUGACUGGGCGUAAAGCGCACGCAGGCGGCACCGCGCGUGGGGUGUGAAAUCUGGCCGCUUAACGGCCAGGCGCCAUCCCAUACGGCGGAGCUGGAGUGAUGCAGAGGUCGAUGGAAUUGCCGGUGUAGUGGUGAAAUGCGUAGAGAUCGGCAGGAACACCCAGGGGGAAACCAGUCGACUGGGCAUCUACUGACGCUGAGGUGCGAGAGCGUGGGGAGCGAACCGGAUUAGAAACCCCCGUAGUCC